rnacentral:lncRNA from 1 species
CGGAAAGCCGUGCCCGCGGUUAUGUGGCAAGCAUGGAUAAUUUGUUAACAUCCGGUUCUAGAUAACUUGAACUAACUCUAAUAAAACUGCCAGCUGUGUGCGUAACCGUGACUGUCUCCUUCGAAGACCUCUCUUCGAUCGGGAACACGGUGGGGUUAUGUUUGACGUAAGUAGGUGUUCAUGAUCACUUAGUGAUCACCUAGACUUCGACCGCUCGCGUAGACCACCAUNNNNNNNNNNUCCCCCUUGAUAAAUCGUGUAGUGUUAAGGCUUGUCCGGUAGGACCCAACAUUGGUUUUAAUUUGCUAAUCACCUAAUAAUAAUUUGCAUAGGGAAUAGCUACCCCGAGGAUUUAAUCAACAACCCGGGCCAGUGCUCCUCAUGAGUGUUGGUCCAAACCAGAGCACCGUGCGGGGCCAACCCGGGGCAACUCAGGAGAUUUCUAUCAGGCCACCGUACGCUUCGCUUAUCCGGCGUGUCCUGAGACUGAGAUACGCGGCUCUUAUCGGGGUCGUCGACACGUCGGGAGGUCCUGCUAGAUUUGUCUUACCUUAGCGAUAUAUCUUGCGUAUAGGAAUCCCGAUGAAACUUUGGGUCUCCUCAAAGUUGAGGUUUUCCUCUAAGGAAUCCGACGAGAUCACGAGAUUCGNNNNNNNNNNGCGGCUCGUGACCGUUUUGAUGGACUAGUUGGAGCACCCCUGCAGGGUUUAAUCUUUCGGAAAGUCGUGCCUGCGGUUAUGUGGCAAGCAUGGAUAAUUUGUUAACAUCCGGUCCUGAUAACUUGAACUAACUCUAAUAAAACUGCCAACUGUGUGCGUAACCGUGACUGUCUCCUUCGAAGACCUCUCUUCGAUGGGGAACAUGGUGGGGUUAUGUUUGACGUAAGUAGGUGUUCAGGAUCACUUAGUGAUCACCUAGACUUCGACCGCUCGCGUAGACCACCAUAUC